rnacentral:rRNA from 1 species
CUAAAUACUCCUUAGUGACCGAUAGCGCAUAGUACUGUGAAGGAACGGUGAAAAGGACCCCGGGAGGGGAGUGAAACAGAACCUGAAACCAUAUGUUUACAAGCUGUGGAACCAUGUUUUAUGUGGAACCGCGUACUUUUUGUAGAACGGUCCGGCGAGUUGCGCUGGCUGGCGAGGUUAAGCACCAAAGGUGUGGAGCCGAAGGGAAACCAAGUCUUAAUAGGGCGAAUGAGUCAGUCGGAGCAGACCCGAAACCGGGUGAUCUAUCCAUGUCCAGGUUGAAGUUGCCGUAAAAGGCAAUGGAGGACCGAACCCACAUCCGUUGAAAAGGGUGGGGAUGAGGUGUGGAUAGGGGAGAAAUUCCAAUCGAACCCGGAGAUAGCUGGUUCUCCUCGAAAUAGCUUUAGGGCUAGCCUCAUAUAAGUCUUGCGGAGGUAGAGCACUGAAUUUCCUAGGGGGCGUCAAAGCUUACCGAAGAAUAUCAAACUCCGAAUGCCGUGUAGAUGUUGUAUGGGAGUCAGACUGUACGAGAUAAGUUGGACAGUCAAAAGGGAAAGAGCCCAGACCUGCAGCUAAGGCCCCAAAAUGUGUGUUAAGUGGAAAAGGAUGUGGGAUUUCGAAGACAACUAGGAUGUUGGCUCAGAAGCAGCCAUACAUUCAAAGAGUGCGUAAUAGCUCACUAGUCGAGAGGUCCUGCGCCGAAAAUGUCCGGGGCUGAAACACACUGCCGAAGCUCAGGAAUUAACUGAUGUUAAUUGGUAGAGGAGCAUUGUAUACGGGACGAAGCAGUACCGAUAAGGAGCUGUGGACUGUAUAGAAGAGAGAAUGCCGGAAUGAGUAGCGAGAGGAAGGUGAGAAUCCUUCCGGCCGAAUAUCUAAGGUUUCCAGAGUAAAGCUGAUCUGCUCUGGGUAAGUCGGGGCCUAAGGCCAGGUCGAAAGACGUAACCGAUGGACAACAGGUUGAAAUUCCUGUACCUUAAGUAAACAGAACUGUGGGGACACGUGUGGAGAGCACAAGCCGGAAAUGGAAAAGCCGGUGCAAGCGAGGUAGGAGUACAGUAGGCAAAUCCGCUGUACAAUCCGAAGACGUGAUGCGGACCGAAUUAAGAGUAGGGAAGUGUGUGAGCCAUGCGUCAAGAAAAGCCGCUAUUGUUUUACUUAAGCCCGUACCGUAAACCGACACAGGUGGAUGAGGAGAGAAUCCUAAGGCCGACGGGAGAAGCAUUGUUAAGGAACUCGGCAAAAUGACUCCGUAACUUCGGGAGAAGGAGUGCCAGCGAGAGCUGGCCGCAGAGAAUUGGCCCAAGCAACUGUUUAGCAAAAACACAGGUCUAUGCAAAACCGUAAGGUGAAGUAUAUGGGCUGACGCCUGCCCGGUGCUGGAAGGUUAAGAGGAGAGGUUAGCGGUAACGCGAAGCUUUGAAUUUAAGCCCCAGUAAACGGCGGCCGUAACUAUAACGGUCCUAAGGUAGCGAAAUUCCUUGUCGGGUAAGUUCCGACCCGCACGAAAGGCGUAAUGAUUUGGGCACUGUCUCAACAAUGCACCCGGUGAAAUUGAAAUACCAGUGAAGAUGCUGGUUACCUGCGCCAGGACGGAAAGACCCCAUGGAGCUUUACUCCAGCUUGAUACUGGGAUUCGGUAUUGCAUGUACAGGAUAGGUGGGAGGCUAGGAAGUGAUAACGCCAGUUGUCACGGAGCCGCUGUUGGGAUACCACCCUUGCAGUAUUGGAUUUCUAACCAGCGACCAUGAACUGGUCGGGGGACAAUGUCAGGUGGGGAGUUUGACUGGGGCGGUCGCCUCCGAAAGGGUAUCGGAGGCGCUCAAAGGUUCCCUCAGAAUGGUUGGAAACCAUUCGAAGAGUGCA